GAAAUGCGAUACUUGGUGUGAAUUGCAGAAUCCCGUGAACCAUCGAGUCUUUGAACGCAAGUUGCGCCCGAAGCCUUCUGGCCGAGGGCACGUCUGCCUGGGCGUCACGCAUCGCGUCUCCCCCAACCCACCUCGCGUGGGAUGCGGGGGAGGAGGAUGGCUUCCCGUGCCUCACCGGGCGCGGCUGGCCUAAAUAAGGAGCCUCGGGUCACGGACUGCUGCGGCGAUUGGUGAUUAAUCAACCCUACCCGUGCAGUGCGUGGCCAUAGCGGACUCGCAGGACCCUGUGUUGUCCCCCUUACGUUGGACAAACCGUUGCGACCCCAGGUCAGGCGGGGCUACCCGCUGAGUUUAA
rnacentral:misc_RNA from 1 species